rnacentral:lncRNA from 1 species
GUGUGUGUGUAUGUGUGUGUGUUAGAAUGCUAGAAAAUGUCGUUCAUCAUGUUGAAGAAACAGAGUUAUCCUCUUGCCCUCUUCCCCUCUCUCCCUGUUCCCCUCCCCCCGUCUCUCGCCACGUGUUCAUGGCCAGUCUCUGUUCCUCUGUCUGCCUUUUUCUGUCUCUACUACCCCCUCAACUCCCCUCCCCAUGCCCUGAACAAACUGUAUUCUGUGGAAAGAAAGAGAGAGAGAGAGAGAGAGAGAGAGAGAGAGAGAGAGAGAGAGAGAAAGAAAGAAGCAGAGUUAUAACAACAGAUUUAGAAAAGGCAUUAGGGUAAAAUACUCCAGCUGGGUAAAACUAUUCCUGGCCCUAUGUUUGAAUAUAUUUUUUAAAGGAUUUAUUCAUUUAUUUAUUAUAAGUACACUGUAGCUGUCUUCAGACACACCAGAAGAAGGCAUCAGAUCCCAUUAUAAAUGGUUUCGAGCCACCAUGCAGUUGCUGGGAUUUGAACUCAGAACCUCUGGAAGAGCAAUCAGUAAUUUUAAUCACCGAGCCAUCUCUCCAACCCAAGUUUGAAUAUUUUUAAAAAUAACUUUAUUUAUUUAUUUAUUCACUCAUUUAUUUAAUGUGAGUGCGUGCGUGCCACUUGGACAAAAUGUCCGAUACAAAGCCUGUUAGGAACAAGUAGCUGGCCCCAUCACUGAUCAGAAAUACAAAUGAGUGUCACGGCGAGGGGCUGCUCCUGGGGCUUACUCAGAAAAGAAAGAGGCCCUGGAUGUGAUCUC